AGAGUUUGAUCCUGGCUCAGGACGAACGCUGGCGGCGUGCCUAACACAUGCAAGUCGAGCGGAAGACUUCGGUCUUCAGCGGCGGACGGGUGAGUAACACGUGGGUAACCUGCCUCAUAGAGGGGGAUAGCCUCCCGAAAGGGAGAUUAAUACCGCAUAACAUCAUGCUAACGCAUGUUAGUUUGAUCAAAGGAGUAAUCCGCUAUGAGAUGGACCCGCGGCGCAUUAGCUAGUUGGUGAGGUAAUGGCUCACCAAGGCGACGAUGCGUAGCCGACCUGAGGGGGUGAUCGGCCACAUUGGAACUGAGACACGGUCCAGACUCCUACGGGAGGCAGCAGUGGGGAAUAUUGCACAAUGGGCGAAAGCCUGAUGCAGCAACGCCGCGUGAGUGAAGAAGGCCUUCGGGUUGUAAAGCUCUGUCUUUUGGGACGAUAAUGACGGUACCAAAGGAGGAAGCCACGGCUAACUACGUGCCAGCAGCCGCGGUAAUACGUAGGUGGCAAGCGUUGUCCGGAUUUACUGGGCGUAAAGGAUGCGUAGGUGGAUAUUUAAGUGGGAUGUGAAAUACCCGGGCUCAACUUGGGUGCUGCAUUCCAAACUGGAUAUCUAGAGUGCAGGAGAGGUAAGUGGAAUUCCUAGUGUAGCGGUGAAAUGCGUAGAGAUUAGGAAGAACACCAGUGGCGAAGGCGACUUACUGGACUGUAACUGACACUGAGGCAUGAAAGCGUGGGGAGCAAACAGGAUUAGAUACCCUGGUAGUCCACGCCGUAAACGAUGGGUACUAGGUGUGGGAGGUAU
rnacentral:rRNA from 1 species